GCACAAGCGGUGGAUGAUGUGGUUAAUUCGAUGCAACGCGAAAACCUUACCCACCUUUGACAUGGCAGGAAUCCCGAAGAGAUUUGGAGUGCUCGAAAGAGAACCUGCACACAGGUGCUGCAUGGCUGUCGUCAGCCCGUGUCGUGAGAUGUUGGGUUAAGUCCCGCAACGAGCGCAACCCUUGCCAUUAGUUGCUACGAAAGGGCACUCUAAUGGGACUGCCGGUGACAAACCGGAGGAAGGUGGGGAUGACGUCAAGUCCUCAUGGCCCUUAUAGGUGGGGCUACACACGUCAUACAAUGGCCGGUACAGAGGGUAGCCAACCCGCGAGGGGGAGCCAAUCCCACAAAGCCGGUCGUAGUCCGGAUCGCAGUCUGCAACUCGACUGCGUGAAGUCGGAAUCGCUAGUAAUCGCGGAUCAGCAUGUCGCGGUGAAUACGUUCCCGGGUCUU
rnacentral:rRNA from 1 species